UACGUAGGGGCCUAGCGUUGUCCGGAAUUAUUGGGCGUAAAGAGCUCGUAGGCGGUUCGGCAAGUCGGAUGUGAAAUCUCCACGCUUAACGUGGAGGGGCCAUUCGAAACUGCUGUGACUCGAGUCCGGUAGGGGAGUGUGGAAUUCCCAGUGUAGUGGUGAAAUACGUAGAGAUUGGGAAGAACACCAGUGGCGAAGGCGGCUAUCUGGACGGUUUCUGACGCUAAGACGCGAAAGCGUGGGGAGCAAACAGG
rnacentral:rRNA from 1 species